CCUACGGGAGGCAGCAGUAGGGAAUCUUCCNCAAUGGACGAAAGUCUGACGGAGCAACGCCGCGUGAGUGAUGAAGGUUUUCGGAUCGUAAAGCUCUGUUGUUAGGGAAGAACAAGUACCGUUCGAAUAGGGCGGUACAUUGACGUACCUAACCAGAAAGCCACGCUU
rnacentral:rRNA from 1 species